rnacentral:rRNA from 1 species
AGUGAACGCUGGCGGUAGGCCUAACACAUGCAAGUCGAACGGCAGCACAGUAAGAGCUUGCUCUUACGGGUGGCGAGUGGCGGACGGGUGAGGAAUACAUCGGAAUCUACUUUUUCGUGGGGGAUAACGUAGGGAAACUUACGCUAAUACCGCAUACGACCUACGGGUGAAAGCAGGGGAUCUUCGGACCUUGCGCGAUUGAAUGAGCCGAUGUCGGAUUAGCUAGGUGGCUGGGUAAAGGCCCACCAAGGCGACGCUCCGUAGCUGGUCUGAGAGGAUGAUCAGCCACACUGGAACUGAGACACGGUCCAGACUCCUACGGGAGGCAGCAGUGGGGAAUAUUGGACAAUGGGCGCAAGCCUGAUCCAGCCAUACCGCGUGGGUGAAGAAGGCCUUCGGGUUGUAAAGCCCUUUUGUUGGGAAAGAAAAGCAGCAGGUUAAUACCCCGCUGUUCUGACGGUACCCAAAGAAUAAGCACCGGCUAACUUCGUG